UACGGGGGGGGCAAGCGUUGUUCGGAAUUACUGGGCGUAAAGGGCGCGUAGGCGGCCUACUAAGUCGGACGUGAAAUCCCUCGGCUCAACCGAGGAACUGCGUCCGAUACUGGCAGGCUGGAAUCCGGGAGAGGGAUGUGGAAUUCCAGGUGUAAGCGGUGAAAUGCGUAGAUAUCGUGGAGGAACACCGGUGGCGAAGGCGGCAUCCUGGACCGGUAUUGACGCUGAGGCGGCGAAAAGCUGAGGGGAGACCAAACGGGGAUUCAAGAAACCCCC
rnacentral:rRNA from 1 species